rnacentral:snoRNA from 1 species
AUCCUUUUGUAGUUCAUAAGUGUGAUGAUUGAGUAUUCACGCUUUUGCGUGAGAUGUGCCUCCCACAAACCUUGAUACAACAUCGGCACAUUACCCGUCUGACA